AGCCGAGGAAAGAACUUCACAACCAACUUUUGUGAGGCCACAGCUUGCUAACCUGAAGUGGAAACAGAUAAAAAAAAGGACCCACUCAUCUGUUUCUAAAUGUCCUGCCUUACUCCUUGAGGAAGUUAUCUGAUACUUAUAUAUUGGCCAAUUUUCCUGUAGAAUUAACCUCAACAGACAUUUAACUUGUGAAUUCCAUUGCAUUUAGGUACACGAGAGAAUGAAACAAAAUGGGAGAGUCUAGAAAGUAUGAAAAAAGAAAAAAGUAUAAAGCCAAACACAAGAAGAUAGGACUGGGGAAAUAGCUCAGUUGGUAGGCUCUUGCCAUACAAGUACUAGUUUCCCCAUUUUGAUCACCAGCACUAUGUAACAAGAGUAAAGCUCCAAACCAGAGUUUCAGAGAACUGCUAUAACAGCAACAGCAGAACAGCAGCAGCAGCAGCAGCAGCAGCAGCAGCAGCAGCAGCAGCAGCAGCAGCAGCAGCAGCAGCAACAACAACAAUAAAAGGGCUACCAUAUAGCUUUGGAUUUGUCAUUUGACAACUGGCAUUCUCAACUAAUUUGACAUUACAGGAAAUGAAAAUGGUAUAUGUGCCAGUGUAUGUACUCAUGUGGACGCCAGAAGACAAUGUCAGGUAUUGUUCCUUGAGUGUAGUAUUUUGUUUUUUUAGACAAGAUUUCCUCGUGGCCUGGAAAUUGCCAAAUAAGGUAGGCUAGCUGGCUAAUGAGUUCCAGGAAUCUGCUGGAGUCUGUCUGUCCUGGCAUUGUGAUUACACAUGCAUGUCACUCUGCAAUGAGGGUUUAGGUGUUGAAAAUGUCUUCAUGUUUAAGGCAGGUGCUUUAUCAACUGAUCGGUCUCUAAAAAGUCCUUUGUGUUGUAAUGAAAUCGAAAUGAGGCUGGGUGUUGUUUAAUGGUAUUUUUAUCUAGUAUGUUUUAAGAUGUUGGGGUUUUGAGUCCCAACUCUGGGGAAGGGAAAUUUAAUAAAUGAAACUGCAUAGUGGUGGGCUAUGGAGACCUUAAUUUGUGGAAACCAUUCAAGAGCUUCCUAUUUACAAACAACUUAGACAAAUGGUGAGUCAGACAGAGAUAAUGCUCAUUAAACUGGUCACAUCUAAUAAGCUGUGACAACUGGCAACCAUAUGAGCAGCACUCAGUGCAUGAUAGCUAUUGUAUGAUGUAUAUUUGAAUCAAUUAUCAUUUUCUAGACAAACACCUCUGUGUCUCAGUUUUGAAUUUUAGGAAUUGUAACAUCACACCUAUGUUCACAAUUCUCUUGCCAUCAGAAUUAAACUGGAUAUAAUGUUAAGCAUCUUGUUUACCAUAUAAUUGUAUGCCACAUAGUAAGUUUUUACUUUUAGUUAAAUAUAGAAACUUUAUAGUUCAUAUCUUCUCACAGAAAAGCCAACUUCAUGAAAGGGAAAGAGUAAAUUCAUACGUAGAACAGAAGAGUUAAGGGGGAUAGAGGACAGGUAGAUGACCUGUGCAUACCAGCCUCAGCAAGAGAUUUCUAGAUGGAUUAUCUAAAAAUAACUUCGUAUGUUAGCUAAGCAAUGUUCUUUCUGUAAAUCUACUUCCUUCGUUACCAGUAAACUCAACACUUACCAAAUUUCAGCUGUGGGGUCCAACAUAUUUCUCAAGUCUGCCCUUGCUGUCAGUCUCACAGUCUGUAGAGAGUGGCAGUGCUUAAGACAGUAUGAAUAUAUGAGCAAUUUGGAUUCUUCAUCAACCUUUACCAUAAUCUUUUGAAAAUACGUCAGUGCCUGAGUGAUGAAUUCUUCAUCUUGAGUUUCAUAUAUACAGUGAAGCAAGUCUUGAAUUCUCAGCUGUGAUAGAGGAGAGUCAUCCUUUUCUAGUGCUUCCAGACACACAAGUAACUCUUCCCUUACCGCCCUGGAUAUUGUAAGGUUGAAAGUUUCCUCCAGUUGUUGUACUCUGUCUUUAUUCAGUAGACCAAACAAAAAGCAUUUCAUCUGUUCCAAAUGAGGGUCAUGAAAAUGGUUGCUUUCAAGCAACAGAUGCACGUUUUCGAAAGGUUCUAAGGGAUGGUCUUUUUCUUCUGGAUUCUCUCUCAGCAAGUAAAACAGAGCUGCAAAAUACUCCUGAACUUGGAGGUGAGUGAAUGUGUAGCAGUUUUCACACUCAGUGUCCUGCUGAAGAACAUUUGCCUCUAGGAAAAGUGAGAGGUCCUCUCUGGUUAGCUCAUGCUUUCGGAGAUUUUGCUGGUAGAGCACAUGCUUCAUAGUCCAAAUGCCUUCAACAGCGGCCUGGCAUAGGCUCCUUAGUAGUGUUUCAUUGGGCAGAGUAACAGAGCUCCCAGCUAUGCGUGGAAAUAAGCUGCAGAUAUAAUAUGUGAACAGAGCUGUACUGGUCUGGCAGGUCAUUUCAACAUUGCCACCUUUCUCCACUUGCUCCUUCAGGAAAGUACAGAUCAUCUGGCACACAUGGCAUACAUGGCACAUGUUGAAAAGCUUUGCAUUCAUUCUUAUUGAACAAACUGCAUUCAUAGCCCAUGUCUUAUCUUUUAACAAGUGAUGAAUAUAGUCAAUCCUUGAACUCCUAGACAGUCCUGGUAGCUUUACGCGAUGAGGUUUCUGCAACAAAGGCACUAGUCGUUUCCAGGCUGUUGUUCUUGUUGUUACUAAUAAGUAGGACUCAGGAAGCAUCACUUUCCUCAGCAAACUACUAAUGAGAAAAGACACUGGGUGCUUCUGGGUCCAAUCUCUACACAGUGCGAACUCUGGCUCUUCAAAGGAGAAAUCCAGCUCAUCAAAACUAUCAAGUAUAAAAAGGAGACUGCUGGGUUUGCACAGGAUCUGUUCAAUGGGGCCCUCGCUACUAGGCCAGUGCUUUGAUAUUAGCUGAGCAAAGUUUUUCUCCUUCUCUUGGCUAAUUUCUCUCCCACUGAGAUAAAAAACAUGGGUAAACUGCUGAUAGAGAUUGCCAUCUGCCCAUUCUAAGACUGCCUUUUUCAACAACGUUGUCUUCCCAAUUCCAGCAGCUCCAUAAAGGACUACCGUUUGUGGAGACUUGGAAGUUUGGAUAUUCACAUCAAAUAUAUGCUCCAACAGCUUUUGGUCUUUGUGAGUAGUUACACAAUUUAAAGUUGCAGAUUCUCCAAGCAAAGAAGUCUUAUCCCAUAUAAUAAAAAAAUUUUCCUUUAUUAUAGUUCUGUAGUCUAUUCCAUAAUUUAAGUCAGUUAGAAUGGAAAAAAAACCAAAGACACACAUGAUCAAAACUUUCUUUAAUUUCACUGUUAAGAUUCUCACUGACCACCCAUCCCCUUCUUUCUGUCCACCCUUCCCUCUUUCUCCCAGCCAUAUAGGUAUUAGGAAUCAAACCCAGAUCCUUCUGUAAGAACAAUAAGUGCUCUUAACUACUUACUCUUUCUUUAGACCUCUAGGUUAACUUUUGACUAGACAUUUCUAAAUAUUGUAUUCUUGACAUCUCAAGUUAAUAUGGUUGUGGGUUUGACUUUGGCCAUAACUCCAGUUUUAUUGACUUGGAAGGACUGAUAACAGUGGUACAUUGAAAGUAAACUGUUCAACUGAAUAAUGGUUCUUAGGAACUAACCCUGCCAUCAUAAAGUUAUAAAAAUACAUAAAAACUGACCAAAUUCUUUAUCCUCAGACACUAUUUCCUCUUUAGAAAGUUGGUCUUCCAUCUCCUCAUCCUCUGUCUUCAUGGUCUUUGUUGGUCCUGAAAUAGGUUCCAAGAGGAUCAUGAGAUUUACCAGAAAUGGAGCUUUAGGAAUGGUUAGAAUGGAGAAUUGUGCUGUGUUGUGAUUCUAUGACUAUCUGGGUGUAGUGGUGAAAUAGGUAAAUUGCUUUGGCUCCUGGCUGGUUGCAUUCACCCAAGAGCUCUGGAUUUAUGAAUGAAGGACACACACACACACACACACACACACACACACACACACACACACUCACACUCUUACACUUUGAUAUGACUUGAUUAACUCGAUGGCUGGCAACUUCUAAACUUCCCUGGAUAGCACACAAUCCCCUCCAGUAUUCCCGAGUUAACAUCUUAAAAUCUAUAGUUCAUCUCUGCUACCCCAGACCCAAUGGAGGAAUGGUCCCCAGGGCCACUUUCCCAGAACCUUAUAUGUUGUCUAUUCUCCUUGUUCCCCUGUCACUUCCUCUUCCUUUCUCUCUCUGUCCCUUGACUACGGAAUCUAAACAUCCCACGUCUAUCUUCCUGCCCAGCCCAGAAUUAUUGUACAGCCAUUCUUUAUCAUCAAUUGAAGUCCACUGUGGGCAGUGGACCUUCAGUGUUUGGAACCACUGCUUUUGGUAAGAAAUUAAGACAAAGCACUAGAACCAAUUCUGAACAUCUGCGUUUAGUUAAACUAGAGCCAAGAGCUUCAAAUUCUGCACCAGGUUAGCUGAGGAAGAAUGUGCUACAAACACUAGGUUGAACUUUUGCCUUCUUUAUGCUCUAACAGCAGGCACAAAACCACCUUGUGAAAUAGAAUCAAAGAAAAUUCAAACUGAGGGAAACCUGGAAGUGAAAAAUUUAGGAACUUAAAACAGAGACAUUAGAGGAAAGCCUCACCAACAGAAUAAGAGUUGGAAGACAUACUCAGGCAUUCAAGACAUGACAGAAGAAAUGAAUAGUUUGGUCAAAGGAAAUGCUAAAUCUAAAAAAUUCUGGUAUGCUAUCCUGAACUCUUGGACACUGUGAAAACACCAAGUCUAAGGAUAAUAGAAAUAGAAGGAGAAGGAACCCAAGUCAAAGACACAGAAAAUUUUAAAAAGUCAAAUCCUAUAGAAUAAAAAUUUACUAAUAUUCUAUCAAAAUACAAGAAGCAUAUAGGACACUAUAAAAAGACCACUCAGCACAUUAAAAUGUUAAGUGUACAGAAUAAAGGAUAUUAAAAACUUUAAGGGAAAAAGACCAAGUAACAUAAAGGCAGGCCUGACUUCUCAAUGGAGACCUUAAAAGCUGUAAGUGCCUGAACACAUGUUCCAGACUCUAAGAGACCAAAGAUGCCAGACACAGACAGAUACCUCUACACACACACACACACACACACACACACACACACACACACACACACACAGAGAGAGAGAGAGAGAGAGAGAGAGAGAGAGAGAAGAGAGAGAAGAGACCCACCCCAGACAGAGAGACCUAUACUCUGAAAGAGACAGAGACCCACCCCCUACACAGAGACAGAGAUCCAUUCCCCAUAACAGAUGGACAGAGGCUCAACAACAGACAGAUCCACCCUCUACCACGAUGAACAGAAACUCGCUCCUCUAUGACAGAUGGACAGAGACCCAACUCUGACAGACAGAUGGAAACCUAACCCCCCACGACAGACGAACACACACACACACCCUCACACGGCAGACACCUCCUACCCCCACAUAACACGGCAGACACCCCCACAUACAUGGCACCCCCCCACAGGGCAGUUACCCCUCUCCCCAUGGCAGACACCCCCUACACACA